rnacentral:rRNA from 1 species
GAUGAACGCUGGCGGCGUGCCUAAUACAUGCAAGUCGUACGAAGAGUUUUUUGUGCUUGCAUAGAAAACUCUUAGUGGCGAACGGGUGAGUAACGCGUUGGUGACCUGCCCCAAAGAGAGGGAUAACCCCGGGAAACUGGGGCUAAUACCUCAUGUGGUCAUAAGGAUUAGAACGCCUUAUGUCUAAAGGAGUAAUCCACUUUGGGAGGGGCCUGCGUCCCAUCAGCUAGUUGGUAGGGUAAUGGCCUACCAAGGCUUCGACGGGUAGGGGACCUGAGAGGGUGACCCCCCACACUGGCACUGAAACACGGGCCAGACACCUACGGGUGGCAGCAGUAGGGAAUAUUGGGCAAUGGGCGAAAGCCUGACCCAGCAACGCCGCGUGUGCGAUGAAGGCCUUCGGGUUGUAAAGCACUUUUCUGGGGGAAGAGCAAGGACGGUACCCCAGGAAUAAGGUUCGGCUAACUACGUG